rnacentral:rRNA from 1 species
UACGGAGGAUGCGAGCGUUAUCCGGAUUUAUUGGGUUUAAAGGGUGCGUAGGCGGCUUAGUAAGUCAGCGGUGAAAUUUUGCAGCUUAACUGUAACAGUGCCGUUGAUACUGCCAGGCUAGGAUUUGGUUGCUGUGGGUGGAAUGUGUGGUGUAGCGGUGAAAUGCUUAGAUAUCACACAGAAUAUCAAUUGCGAAGGCAGCUCACAAAGCCAAGAUUGACGCUGAGGCACGAAAGUGUGGGGAUCAAACA